rnacentral:rRNA from 1 species
GUGGAGGGUUCGAUUCUGGCUCAGGAUGAACGCUGGCGGCGUGCUUAACACAUGCAAGUCGAACGGGAUCCAUCAGGCUUUGCUUGGUGGUGAGAGUGGCGAACGGGUGAGUAAUGCGUGACCGACCUGCCCCAUACACCGGAAUAGCUCCUGGAAACGGGUGGUAAUGCCGGAUGCUCCGACUCCUCGCAUGGGGUGUCGGGAAAGAUUUCAUCGGUAUGGGAUGGGGUCGCGUCCUAUCAGGUAGUCGGCGGGGUAACGGCCCACCGAGCCUACGACGGGUAGCCGGCCUGAGAGGGCGACCGGCCACAUUGGGACUGAGAUACGGCCCAGACUCCUACGGGAGGCAGCAGUGGGGAAUAUUGCACAAUGGGCGCAAGCCUGAUGCAGCGACGCCGCGUGCGGGAUGACGGCCUUCGGGUUGUAAACCGCUUUUGAUCGGGAGCAAGCCUUCGGGUGAGUGUACCUUUCGAAUAAGCACCGGCUAACUACGUGCCAGCAGCCGCGGUAAUACGUAGGGUGCAAGCGUUAUCCGGAAUUAUUGGGCGUAAAGGGCUCGUAGGCGGUUCGUCGCGUCCGGUGUGAAAGUCCAUCGCUUAACGGUGGAUCUGCGCCGGGUACGGGCGGGCUGGAGUGCGGUAGGGGAGACUGGAAUUCCCGGUGUAACGGUGGAAUGUGUAGAUAUCGGGAAGAACACCAAUGGCGAAGGCAGGUCUCUGGGCCGUUACUGACGCUGAGGAGCGAAAGCGUGGGGAGCGAACAGGAUUAGAUACCCUGGUAGUCCACGCCGUAAACGGUGGAUGCUGGAUGUGGGGCCCGUUCCACGGGUUCCGUGUCGGAGCUAACGCGUUAAGCAUCCCGCCUGGGGAGUACGGCCGCAAGGCUAAAACUCAAAGAAAUUGACGGGGGCCCGCACAAGCGGCGGAGCAUGCGGAUUAAUUCGAUGCAACGCGAAGAACCUUACCUGGGCUUGACAUGUUCCCGACAGCCGUAGAGAUAUGGCCUCCCUUCGGGGCGGGUUCACAGGUGGUGCAUGGUCGUCGUCAGCUCGUGUCGUGAGAUGUUGGGUUAAGUCCCGCAACGAGCGCAACCCUCGCCCUGUGUUGCCAGCACGUCAUGGUGGGAACUCACGGGGGACCGCCGGGGUCAACUCGGAGGAAGGUGGGGAUGACGUCAGAUCAUCAUGCCCCUUACGUCCAGGGCUUCACGCAUGCUACAAUGGCCGGUACAACGGGAUGCGACACGGCGACGUGGAGCGGAUCCCUGAAAACCGGUCUCAGUUCGGAUUGGAGUCUGCAACCCGACUCCAUGAAGGCGGAGUCGCUAGUAAUCGCGGAUCAGCAACGCCGCGGUGAAUGCGUUCCCGGGCCUUGUACACACCGCCCGUCAAGUCAUGAAAGUGGGUAGCACCCGAAGCCGGUGGCCUAACCCUUUGUGGAUGGAGCCGUCUAAGGUGAGACUCGUGAUUGGGACUAAGUCGUAACAAGGUAGCCGUACCGGAAGGUGCGGCUGGAUCACCUCCUU